CCUUCGGUAGCUCAGUUGGUAGAGCGGUGGACUGUAGCUGGUAAAAACAACAGACAUCCAUAGGUCGCUGGUUCAAAUCCGGCCCGAAGGA
rnacentral:tRNA from 1 species